rnacentral:rRNA from 1 species
GGGCGGCUUUCCCGGAUUAUUGGGCGUAAGAGCUCGUAGGCGGUUUGUCGCGUCUGCCGUGAAAGUCCGGGGCUCAACUCCGGAUCUGCGGUGGGUACGGGCAGACUAGAGUGAUGUAGGGGAGACUGGAAUUCCUGGUGUAGCGGUGAAAUGCGCAGAUAUCAGGAGGAACACCGAUGGCGAAGGCAGGUCUCUGGGCAUUAACUGACGCUGAGGAGCGAAAGCAUGGGGAGCGAACAGGAUUAGAUACCCAGGUAGUCCACGCGGUAAACGAUGGACACUAGGUGUGGGGGGUAUCGACCCCUUCCGUGCCGAAGCCAACGCAUUAAGUGUCCCGCCUGGGGAGUACGGCCGCAAGGCUAAAACUCAAAGGAAUUGACGGGAGCCCGCACAAGCAGCGGAGCGUGUGGUUUAAUUCGACGCAACGCGUAGAACCUUACCAGGGCUUGACAUGGCUGGGACACCGUCCGAGAGGGCGGCUCCGGGCAACCGGCUCAGUCACAGAUGCUGCAUGGCUGUCGUCAGCUCGUGCCGUGAGGUGUUGGGUUAAGUCCCGCAACGAGCGCAACCCUCGUUCCAUGUUGCCAGCACGUAGUGGUGGGGACUCAUGGGAGACUGCCGGGGUCAACUCGGAGGAAGGUGGGGACGACGUCAAAUCAUCAUGCCCCUUAUGUCUUGGGCUUCACGCAUGCUACAAUGGCCGGUACAAAGGGUUGCGAUACUGUGAGGUGGAGCUAAUCCCAAAAAGCCGGUCUCGGUUCGGAUUGGGGUCUGCAACUCGACCCCAUGAAGUCGGAGUCGCUAGUAAUCGCAGAUCAGCAACGCUGCGGUGAAUACGUUCCCGGGCCUUGUACACACCGCCCGUCAAGUCACGAAAGUUGGUAACACCCGAAGCCGGUGGCCUAACCCUUGUGGGGGGAGCCGUCGAAAGGUGGGACCGGCGAUUGGGACUAAGUCGUAACAAGGUAACC